GAUGAAGAACGUAGCGAAAUGCGAUAACUAAUGUGAAUUGCAGAAUUCAGUGAAUCAUCGAGUCUUUGAACGCACAUUGCGCCCCCUGGUAUUCCGGGGGGCAUGCCUGUCCGAGCGUCAUUGCUGCCCUCAAGCACGGCUUGUGUGUUGGGCUCCGUCCCCCCGGGGACGGGCCCGAAAGGCAGCGGCGGCACCGAGUCCGGUCCUCGAGCGUAUGGGGCUUUGUCACCCGCUCUGUAGGCCCGGCCGGCGCCAGCCGACAACCCAUCAUCCUUUUCAGGUUGACCUCGGAUCAGGUAGGAAUACCCGCUGAACUUAAGCAUAUCAAUAAGCGGAGGA
rnacentral:misc_RNA from 1 species